UAUAAAACUAUCCACUUUCAUAUUGUAAAGAUAAAAAUUGUCCACUAAGAUAAAAAUAAUAAAAAUUGUCCACUUUUUGAUUGAAAAGACAAAAAUACCCUCCUUCAAAUAUACUACUCUCUCUCUCUCUCUCCACUCUCUUUCUCUCUCUUCUCCCUCACGGCCCUUCCCCCUUCUCUCUCUCUCUCCCUCCCUCCCUUCGAUCUCAGAUCGCCGCCUCGGCCUCGUCGCCUCCGCCAUCGCCCCCGGCCUCGUCGUCUCUGCCCCGGCCUCUUCGCCUCUGCCAUCUUCUGCUUCACCCCUCGCCGCGAAGCGCUUCGUCUCAAAUACUCCGCCGCUUCAAUCACCGCCGGUCUCGCUUCGUCUCGCCUUCGUUCUGGAUCUCAGCGAUUUUCCGGCCGAUCUCGCGCAUGAUUUGCUGGCGCCACUUGUUGGCCUCCGCUAGGUCGCGGCACUCCGACUCCAGGUAGGGGCGGUCCUCCUUCGGCUUCUUCUUCUCCACCACCAUCGCGACGCACAGCGAAGUCGAUCUUCUCAAGUUUCAACUGAGUUAUGUCCGACGAAGAGAAGCCAGAUCCGCCGGCCAUCCAGAUUCAGGAAUCGAGGGAGCGCUCGAAUUUGUUCUGCGAAAUCGGAGAUAGCAAGCUGCUAUUUGGAGAAUUACAAUGCUGAAUUUACUGAAGAUUCUGCAACAGCUCUAGUUCUUGGGGUUUUGGGGUGAUUUACAGGCGGUGCGGUGGUGACGGAGAUGGAGGGUGCGGCGAAGAAGAGGCGAUUUGGUGGUGACGGAGAUUCUGCAACAGCUCUAGUUCGAGCAGCUUCUCCCAUAUAUGAUGCAUCAUUGACUUUAAUUAUUGUUAUUCAUCCACCUUCAUUUGUGUGGCAUUUGUUUUUUGUUGCUGGAGAAUAUAACCAGAUCAUUAAUGUUAAUUUGUUUUUUAAAUAA